UCACAGCAAUGAUUUUUAAUGAUUUUCAUAACUGUGAUUUUAUGAUAGUGAGUUGAGUAUUGAUGAUGAAAUAUUUCGUAGUAGCACCUUAUAUCCUUUAACUCAUUUGUGUUGCAGGGUUCCCUACUACCUAUUAUUAUAUUAUUACUUUGGGAAAUCAUAUACUUGUUUUACAGCGAGGGAUUACAUGUUUUCAAAAAGGUUUCAGAAAAUUUUAUUUUAUAGCCUAUUCACCCUUGUUUUUCGCCCAUCCAGGACGUAAAGAUUGAGCUUGUGGGUGUAUGAGGAUUCAGUGGAAUUAGCUGGCUAUUCUUCGGUCAAACUAGGUUACUUAAGUAAUAAUAAUCAUUAUUUACGAAAUCGUCUACUUUUAUCUUUCUGCGCUAUGCUCUGAACUUCAUGUUUUGUAUUAACGGUUACUACUCAAUCAAGAUUUAUUUAAAGUUUAAAUUUAUUUUCACUUUUACACAUCAACCAUACUUUAUGGCUUCGUGACUCUUUGAGUGUCGGUCAACACAUCACGAUCUAGAUGGACACGUGGACAUUUCAGGCUGGGACAUGUCAGUUUGCUAUCAGAGCAUAGUUGUAGUUGAAGGAAAAAUUUUUGUCCUAGCUAAGAACAUGUGAGAAUAUUUGAAUACAUAUGCAAACUAUUAACACAUUAAAGUAGGCAUGCAUUCAAAAACGAUUCAUAAAACCCAUGACUUUCAAAGCCUAGUGAAUGGUGAACCAAUAAACUCUUUAACAACAUUAAAGAGAAUAAAGGAUUUAGAGAUUCUUUACCCUUGAAGCUCAUCCUUGAUUACACAAGGGAUUCACCCAAGUGGAGGGCCUUCAAGUCACCUCCUCGCUCCUUGGAUCUUCCUUGUGAUUUUCUUCCUUUUAGUGCUCCUUUGCUUCUUUGAGGAUUUGAGGAUAUGUUCUCCAAAACACCAAAAGCUUGAUGUCUCUAAGUCUCUUCACCAAGGAUAUAUUGUGAAGAAGAAAUGGAUGACUUAGAGAAGAAUAGAUUGCUAGCUAAAACUUCUCUAAGUGGCUGGCCUCUAUAGAGAAAAAGAGAGAAAAUGUUUCACCUCUUUUCAUCAAGAAAACC
rnacentral:lncRNA from 1 species